AAGCUCCCUCCAAGCUUCAGGAGUUCCUGAAGGUCUUCCUCAGCUAAACCAGUGGACAGCUUCUGAAGCACUUUCCUGUGUUUCUAGGUUAUUUGGUAAUUAAACAAACCUGCCUUUGAGAGGAAGGUCAUGCAAUUGUUCUGAGGAAAACAAGACAACUUCUCCAAGCUCCCGAUAGUGUCUGCUGCCCUCUCAUUGCAUUUUACAUAUUUAAAGCCUAACUUUCAUCACAAGAGAGGUGGGCAUUUUGAAGGCCAAGCACGAAAGGAAGCAAGAGGAGACUUCUUUGAAGUCCUUCUUUCUCCCCAUGCUCAGCAGACGUCUCUACUUGCAAGCUGAGGAUGCUAACAUCAUGGUCUCAAAUUAAAACCUGAAAAUCCACAGAAGAAAUGUGCAUUUUAGUCUGGAUUUGAAGGGUUGUUUGCUGGCAUUCGAGAAAUGUAGGAGGAUAAAACCUCUCAGAAGAGCAGGAUAACCUCUUUUAUUAAGACCCUGGGAAAGCACAUACUAUUAAGGCAAACACAGUUUUGGAGGAAACAAAGGAGUAACAAGAUUGUUAAAAUGGUGGAACUGAGCUGUCUACCACGUUGUUGAGUGACAUCCAUUUUUCACAGCAACAAGCAUAGAAGUUUACAUCCAGCAGUGCUUUAAGAUUAAAUUUUCAGGAUGACAACAGUACCUAAAUUAGAGAAGAUGCCUUUAAGGUUUGCACUGGAAAAACAGAAUACUACUAAACUGGAAGAUUUACCACGUUGAGGCUUACACACUAUGGCACUCGGUAUCAUACAUUUGGACCUUUGCAUCUUAUGUCCAAAGAAAUGGACCCAAGAGCUCUUCCAAAUGAUGCUAUGAAGACCAGAAAGUAAUCUCAGUGUUUAUCAGCCAGACCCCUGAACAGGGUGCUGAGGUCCAGCAUUUAAGACAUGUCUUGGAUUCUUCUCUCUGAGGAUGAAGUAUUGCAGUGCUGCUGCUCACAGCCUGUGAUAAGGGUCAGCUGUAGGUAGGAAAAAAUGGCUGAUAACUGGCACAUCUAAUUGAGAUUCCAGCCCCUGUGAGGGUUUUUCCUUCUUGGGAAAAUACAGUCAGUAGCAGACAGAUUUCUAAUGUAGGUUUAUAGGGAUGCUGGAACCAGUGUAGAGUGGAAAAAAGGAUUUCAAACCACAUCUAACAGAAAUAUACAAUCUCAAAAUUUUCACAUUAGAUUUCCCUCUUAAAAUAAAGGGUUAGAACCCAUUCACGACCUCUGAAGAAACCUAGGCUCUUUGACAGUCUCUAUGCAGUCAUUUCUUUAUACCUUCUUCUUACCCUUCAGCCCAGAGCUUCACGGUUAGAAGCAGCAUUUCAUAUGACUCUGUGUCUUAGUCAAAUGGUUUACUUCCAAAUGGCUAUCACAAAGAUUUCAUUUUUCCUUUCUUAAGAGGGCAUAUGCUCCUACCAACUCAAACCCUGAGUCUGAAGUAUCUCUUCAUCUAUAAUAAAGGCAUAUCACAGCAGUUACAGAUACAGACAGCGUGUCAAUAAAAAAACAGGACCACAGACUACAGCCCUAUUUUGUUACAGCUUUGUAUCUCUGAAGGUCUGCAAGGAGGGAAAGGAGGAAUCAAUAUGUGCAGACAGCAGGAAUACUGAGUGCAGACAGCAGGAAUACUGAGUAGCAGCCUGGGUGGACAGACACAGCUCUCCAAAGGGUGGAGGAGAGGCAGGGGAAAUGGAAAAUCAUGAAGUAGAAUAGAAAACCCACAGACCCGUGAAAACUCCUCUUCAAAGAUUUUGUCCCCAUGUCAUGCAGAGAAAAUACACAGAAAAUUUAUUUCUAGAGGAAAACAUCUGUAUUCAACUAAAAUUAUGGAUCAGUACAUACUUUAGUAACUAAUGGUAAUACACCAGUAUUUUACUUGUAGUGAAAUAAUCAUUAAAAGAGGAGGUAACUGAGUGUUAAAUACAACUAAAACUGAAAGCAUCAAAAGCACUGAAAAAUGUGUUAUCCAAGUACCCCUGGAUCUGUCCAAAAGCUAUUCAGUGCAAAAACCACCACCACCACCACCAACAACAAAAACAAACCAGUUCAGUAACUCUGAG